rnacentral:rRNA from 1 species
UACGAAGGGGGCUAGCGUUGUUCGGAAUCACUGGGCGUAAAGCGCACGUAGGCGGACUUUCAAGUCAGGGGUGAAAUCCCGGGGCUCAACCCCGGAACUGCCUUUGAUACUGGUAGUCUCGAGUCCGGAAGAGGUGAGUGGAAUUCCGAGUGUAGAGGUGAAAUUCGUAGAUAUUCGGAGGAACACCAGUGGCGAAGGCGGCUCACUGGUCCGGUACUGACGCUGAGGUGCGAAAGCGUGGGGAGCAAACAGG